rnacentral:rRNA from 1 species
UACGAAGGGGGCUAGCGUUGCUCGGAAUCACUGGGCGUAAAGCGCACGUAGGCGGAUCUUUAAGUCAGAGGUGAAAUCCCAAGGCUCAACCUUGGAACUGCCUUUGAUACUGGGGAUCUCGAGUCCGGAAGAGGUGAGUGGAACUGCGAGUGUAGAGGUGAAAUUCGUAGAUAUUCGCAAGAACACCAGUGGCGAAGGCGGCUCACUGGUCCGGUCCUGACGCUGAGACGCGAAGGCGUGGGGAGCGAACGGG